GCUUCCAUGCUAAUGAACUUUCCUCAUAAUACACUGGAAGUCAAGUUGACCUUUGCAGGAGCCUCUGCUAGAAUACAAGGGAAGCCCUUCAGCACCCCCUUCAUCCAAAGCCAGAGAUCUCUCCUCAAUAUAUUGGACAUCCUUUAGUUCUUUCCAUGAGUGGAACUGAAUGUUUAUCUCCUACUGAAAUUUUAUGUACAUAAGGUCUGAAGAAGCUCCAUAAACCUGAGAGCAAAGUAGCACCUUAAAUUCCAGCCUUCCAAGGUCCUGACAAUAAUGUGCCAAUGUCAGCAGGAAGUAAUUACAGAAGCCAAUACAUUGCCAUUGUUCCACCUUCCCCCUUGGAAUGUUAC